AGUGAACGCUGGCGGUAGGCCUAACACAUGCAAGUCGAACGGCAGCACAGUAAGAGCUUGCUCUUACGGGUGGCGAGUGGCGGACGGGUGCGGAAUACAUCGGAAUCUACUUUUUCGUGGGGGAUAACGUAGGGAAACUUACGCUAAUACCGCAUACGACCUACGGGUGAAAGCAGGGGAUCUUCGGACCUUGCGCGAUUGAAUGACGCGAUGUCGGAUUAGCUAGUUGGCGGGGUAAAGGCCCACCAAGGCGACGAUCCGUAGCUGGUCUGAGAGGAUGAUCAGCCACACUGGAACUGAGACACGGUCCAGACUCCUACGGGAGGCAGCAGUGGGGAAUAUUGGACAAUGGGCGCAAGCCUGAUCCAGCCAUACCGCGUGGGUGAAGAAGGCCUUCGGGUUGUAAAGCCCUUUUGUUGGGAAAGAAAAGCAGCAGGUUAAUACCCCGCUGUUCUGACGUUACCCAAAGAAUAAGCACCGGCUAACUUCGUG
rnacentral:rRNA from 1 species